GGGGUUGUGUCUCAGUGGUAGAGAACUUGCCUAGCAUGUAUGAGGCACUGGGUUCGAUCCUCAGCACCACA
rnacentral:tRNA from 1 species